rnacentral:rRNA from 1 species
UCCAGACUCCUACGGGAGGCAGCAGUGGGGAAUAUUGGGCAAUGGGCGCAAGCCUGACCCAGCAACGCCGCGUGAAGGAAGAAGGCUUUCGGGUUGUAAACUUCUUUUGUCAGGGACGAAGCAAGUGACGGUACCUGACGAAUAAGCCACGGCUAACUACGUGCCAGCAGCCGCGGUAAUACGUAGGUGGCAAGCGUUGUCCAGAUUUACUGGGUGUAAAGGGCGUGUAGCCGGGCUUACAAGUCAGAUGUGAAAUCCGGGGGCUCAACCCCCGAACUGCAUUUGAAACUGUCGUUCUUGAGUACUGGAGAGGUUGACGGAAUUCCUAGUGUAGCGGUGAAAUGCGUAGAUAUUAGGAGGAACACCAGUGGCGAAGGCGGUCAACUGGACAGCAACUGACGCUGAGGCGCGAAAGCGUGGGGAGCAAGCAGGAUUAGAUACCCCAGUAA